AGAGUUUGAUCCUGGCUCAGGAUGAACGCUAGCGGCAGGCUUAAUACAUGCAAGUCGAGGGGUAGCAUGAUUGUAGCAAUACAAUUGAUGACGACCGGCAAACGGGUGCGGAACACGUACACAACCUUCCUACAAGUGGGGAAUAGCCCAGAGAAAUUUGGAUUAAUACCCCGUAACAUAGCGAUGUGGCAUCACAUUGCUAUUAUAGCUUCGGCGCUUGUUGAUGGGUGUGCGGCUGAUUAGAUAGUUGGCGGGGUAACGGCCCACCAAGUCUACGAUCAGUAGCUGAUGUGAGAGCAUGAUCAGCCACACGGGCACUGAGACACGGGCCCGACUCCUACGGGAGGCAGCAGUAAGGAAUAUUGGACAAUGGACGCAAGUCUGAUCCAGCCAUGCCGCGUGAAGGAUUAAGGUCCUCUGGAUUGUAAACUUCUUUUAUAAGGGACGAAAAAAGGUCUUUCUAGAUCGUCUGACGGUACCUUAUGAAUAAGCACCGGCUAACUCCGUGCCAGCAGCCGCGGUAAUA
rnacentral:rRNA from 1 species